ensembl:lncRNA
GGUUAAUUUACGCUGCCUAAUACACAUGUAAACCCCAGUAAGCCAAAGCUGCCGAAGGAGCCCCGGUUAUCGCAUAAACUAAGAACCACGACCCCUGGGUUCGAGUUGCCCUGCCCUGCCCAGGCCAGUGAUUCCUUUCUCCACCUGAGAAACGAGGAAACGAGGACUCUCUUCUGCCUUGCCCCAGCUUGAGUGCGGGAAAAACUUUUCUUGUCUGUUCCGGCCACCAGUCUACUUUCAGACACAGGCUCCCCGAAGCCGUCUGUCCCCCGAAGUCCUUCCCUGGGUCUCCUGCGGAAAGCAAGCUGAGGGGUGGGGGCUGCAGGUCAGCAGGAAAACGUCGCCUUAUUAUUGUUAUUAUUACUAGGAUUGCCUAAGAGCAGUGGUCUGCUUUGGGGGAGGGGGUUCUGUUUCCACACGCGGAAAACUUGCUGUAUCUGGAGAUCUGUCGCCUUCUCUCGUCCCGAGGGUGAGGGUUUCCCCCUCCCCCAAAGGAAACCUCCACCCAAAGCAGCCAAAAUAGAAUUCGAAGCGAUCCGCCUCGGGCCUGCUGUUCGCAAAGCCCCCAGCGUCGUCCUCUGGGGGGGCAUCUGGGGGCCCUGCGCCUCGCUGAGCGAGGACACCCCCUCAGAGUCGCACACUCGGGCUGGGCCGCGCUGCCCCAGGAAGGGCUCCACCGCCCGGGGUUUUGGCCUGGCUGAACCGCCUCAGGGACUACAGAGCACGUGCUGGAGGCAAUUAAUUAUCGGAAUGUGGCCAUAUCAAAACGGACACCGGGCACCGGAGAGAUGGCGGCCAGGCUGUGAGGCUGCCUCAAGGCUCAGACUUUGGGGACUCGGCCCGUUGGAGAUGUGACAAUCCCAGCCGUGUUUCUGUGGGCCUUUUCUUUCCACUCCCACUCGCCUGCAUUCUUUGCAAACGCACUGCCGGACAAAAAAAAAAUAAAAUAAAAUGAGUGGAUUUAUAGCCCUGUCUG